AUUGAACGCUGGCGGCAUGCCUUACACAUGCAAGUCGAACGGCAGCACGGGAGCAAUCCUGGUGGCGAGUGGCGAACGGGUGAGUAAUAUAUCGGAACGUGCCCAGUCGUGGGGGAUAACGUAGCGAAAGCUACGCUAAUACCGCAUACGAUCUACGGAUGAAAGCGGGGGAUCGCAAGACCUCGCGCGAUUGGAGCGGCCGAUAUCAGAUUAGGUAGUUGGUGGGGUAAAGGCUCACCAAGCCGACGAUCUGUAGCUGGUCUGAGAGGACGACCAGCCACACUGGGACUGAGACACGGCCCAGACUCCUACGGGAGGCAGCAGUGGGGAAUUUUGGACAAUGGGCGCAAGCCUGAUCCAGCAAUGCCGCGUGCAGGAUGAAGGCCCUCGGGUUGUAAACUGCUUUUGUACAGAACGAAAAGGUUUCUACUAAUACUAGGAGCUCAUGACGGUACUGUAAGAAUAAGCACCGGCUAACUACGUGCCAGCCGCCGCCGUAA
rnacentral:rRNA from 1 species